UGGGGAAUAUUGGACAAUGGGCGAAAGCCUGAUCCAGCCAUGCCGCGUGUGUGAAGAAGGUCUUCGGAUUGUAAAGCACUUUAAGUUGGGAGGAAGGGCAGUAAGCGAAUACCUUGCUGUUUUGACGUUACCGACAGAAUAAGCACCGGCUAACUCUGUGCCAGCAGCCGCGGUAAUACAGAGGGUGCAAGCGUUAAUCGGAAUUACUGGGCGUAAAGCGCGCGUAGGUGGUUCGUUAAGUUGAAUGUGAAAGCCCCGGGCUCAACCUGGGAACUGCAUCCAAAACUGGCGAGCUAGAGUAGGGCAGAGGGUGGUGGAAUUUCCUGUGUAGCGGUGAAAUGCGUAGAUAUAGGAAGGAACACCAGUGGCGAAGGCAGCCAUCUGGCCUAACACUGACGCUGAGGUGCGAAAGCGUGGGGAGCAAACAGG
rnacentral:rRNA from 1 species